rnacentral:rRNA from 1 species
UACGUAGGGAGCAAGCGUUGUCCGGAAUCAUUGGGCGUAAAGCGCGCGUAGGCGGCCCCGUAAGUCCGCUGUGAAAGUCAAAGGCUCAACCUUUGAAAGCCGGUGGAUACUGUGGGGCUAGAGUCCGGAAGAGGCGAGUGGAAUCCUGGUGUAGCGGUGGAAUGCGCAGAUAUCAGGAGGAACACCAAUAGCGAAGGCAGCUCGCUGGGACGGUACUGACGCUAAGGCGCGAAAGCGUGGGAGCGAACAGG